CCGACCCCCUACCCCGCCGGGAGCAGCCUAUCUUCGUGCAAAAUGCACCGAGCUACAUACAGAGGCUGCCUUCCAGGACUCAGCGCGGAGGGUUAGGCUGCCUCGAACCCCUUUCUGGUAACUCCAUCCCAGCUGGGACGCCGGGCCCUCUCCGCCCCUUGCGGCUCACCCCUCCCCUUCUGCCCCCCAACACCGGGACCGGGCGGGCUCUCGGUCGGCGCCACCGCGCCCCCUCAUCAGGAUCCUCGGCGCUGACGUUCUCUACCCGGGGGGAGGAGGGGCCCAGGAAGGGCUAGGUCCGCAGCCAGUGCGGAGAAAGGGCCCUGGGCUCGGCUCCCACGCUCGGGCAGGCCUCCCGCCGGGGGAUCGGAGCUGCGGUCACUCGCGGCUUCGGGGCCGUGGCGUCCCGCGCACAGCUUCCGCGCCUCUGCAAGGCGCCCUGAAGAAAUGGAGGUGAACAGAGGAACAGCCACUCCCAGCAAGCAAGGGAAGAAGAAUCUUGAAAGCCUGUGACUUCACAGAGACUUCUUGAUUGAUGCCCCUGAAAUCAGCCUGCCAAGUGUGGCCUCUGCAGCAUAAAUACAAGGAAUCUGAUGACACAA